rnacentral:tRNA from 1 species
GUAGCUAUAGUUUAACCAAAACAUUAGAUUGUGAGUCUAACGAUAGAAGCCCGCAACUUCUUAUCUACC